GCCGGGUAUGGUGGCACAUACCUCUAAUCCAAGUGGCUCAGGAGGCUGAGGCAGGAGGAUCACAAGUUCAAAGCCAGCUUCAGCAACUUAGCAAGGCCCUAAGCAACUUAGCGAGACCCUGUCUCAA
rnacentral:sRNA from 1 species